CAAGCAGGGACUUGGAGCAGAUGUCCCAGCUGAAUGGAGCAUAAACAAGAAGUAAACCCUGGUUGUUAUAAGUCACUGACUUUUGGGGAUUAUUUGUUAUUGCAGCAUAAUGUGACCUAUCCUACCUGGUGCAGUUACUCUGGGUGGUGUGUGAAAGGGCUAAAGAAGUUCCUGCAAGAGAAGAGUGGGGCCUGGGUCUGCCUUUCCCAUUGCCAAGAUGCCGUCUGCUGGCAACAUCAUCCAUUAUGACUGAUCAUGGCAAAUGCCGGUCAGCUGGCCUCACAGCAGUUGUUAGGAAAAUAGUCUUUGGCUUGAUUAUGUUAUCUGGCUUUCCCCAAGGAGGAAAAGACUCAGAAUGGAUGGAAGUUGUUUAUAAAUUCUCCUCUGCUGCAUACUGUUAAGAAGGGGAAAGAGGAGUGCUGGACUCACCCUGAAUUCUUUCUUACGCGAGAUCCAAGAAUUGUCUCUUGGGGUCUGUGCUGGGACUGCUUUCCUGUAACAUAUUUCUGGCGUCCACAGAAGGGACUAUAGUGAGGAAACCACUGACUUUGGAUCACUCCCUGCAGGUGAAGCCAACUGCCAUGUUGUGCAGAGGCUCCAGCCUCCCGUGGAGAGGCCCACACGGAGAGGAUCUGCCAUCGCCAGCAGGAGCUUUCCAGCCAUAUGAUUUCUGGCAUGGGAGACACUGAACCAUAACCACCCAGCUAAGCUGCCCCUGGAUUCCUGACCUGCAAGACAUGAAAGUGGAACCUACACUGUCAGCUUUCCUGGUUCUCAGGCCUUUGGACUCAGACUGGAACUGCACCAUCAGCUCUCCUGGGGCUCUAGCUUGUCAAUUACAGGUCUUGGGACUUCACAGCUUUCAUAAUUGCAUGAGCCAAUUCCUGAUUCUCUCUCUCUCUCUCUGUAUAUGUAUGCAAGGAUUCCUCUCGUGGUGACAAGAUGGCUGCCGCAGCUCUGAGAAUCACAUCCUCACAAGAUAGCAUCCAGAUCCAGGAAGGGAAGACAGCCAAAGCAGGAAAGGCACUUUCUCUGCAUGUACCACUCUUUUAUUAAAGGGACUGUGAAGAUUACCUCCUGAAAACCUCUUGUCAGAUUUCUCCUAUGUCUCAUCAGUCAGACCUGGGUUACACGCCCACUUCUAGACCAGUCACUGGA
rnacentral:lncRNA from 1 species